rnacentral:rRNA from 1 species
AGGCUCCGGCUCGGAAGUGCACCACCUGACUGGGUGCCUUGCCCGUCGAGGAUGAGCGCACUAGAAAUUUCAAUCCGGAAGUAUGUAGAGCAACCUGAUAAGAGCGUCGUUAAACCAGAGCCGGGACUUAGUUUCGAUUCGUUGGGAGAGGCAUAUGAUUUCUAUAACCUAUACUCGUGGGAAGUGGGUUUUGGGAUAAGAUAUGGAAAAAGAAGACUGAACGCUGAGAGGACUAAAAGUAUGCAGGAAAUAGUAUGUGGUUGCUCGGGAAAACCGGAGACUGGAAACAGUCGGUCGUGUAGAUGUGAGUGCCUAGCUCUGAUAAGGCUAUUGCGUGCAUCCGACAACAGCUGGUACAUCACAGAGCAUCGAGCAAGUCAUAACCAUUCCAUGUCGCUGACAAUGGGAGAAAAAGUGCGCUGGCCAUCUCAUAAGCAUAUAGAUGUUUACACCAAAGACUUGAUAAAGCAGCUGAGGGAAAACAAUGUUAAUCUGGGAAAAGUGUACAUCAUCAUUGGGAGCUUUUUUGGGUCUGUGGAAAAGGUCCCCUUCACGAGGAGGACACUCGGGAAUAUAUGUCGCAAGAUUAGCCAUGAACAGGCUGAAGACGACGUUCGGAAGACACUUCAGGCGUUUGCUGACAUCCGGGCAAAUGACCCCGGAUUCUCCUAUGUGGUGUUAGCCGAGAAAGACAGCAAAGUUAAGAACCUGAUAUGGGCUAACGGGAACAGCAGGAUGCAGUACAAAUUCUUUGGCGACAUUGUGACUUUUGACACCACCUAUAGGACAAACUUAUAUGAUAUGCCAUUUGGCCUAUUUGUCGGAGUCAACAACCACUACCAAAGUAUUAUCUUUGUGGGGGUGUUGAUGCGUGAUGAGCAGGAAGAUAGCUUUGAAUGGGUGUUCGAGGAAUUUGUACGUAUUAUGGGUGGACCUCCGCCAAAAACAAUACUUACAAGUCAGAGUGGUCAGCAAAACAGAAAAAGAAAGAUUCUGUUCAAUCUAUCUUCAUUAUCGAAGGACUUAUUUGAUUUUGGAAUGCUUCUUUUUCUUGUGCAGACCAAUGCAGGGCUAUGGAGAUUGCAAUCAAGAAGACAUAUCCAGACACGGUGCACCGUUGGUGCAAAUGGCACGUUCUGA